AUGCAAGUCGAGCGAAUGGAUUAAGAGCUUGCUCUUAUGAAGUUAGCGGCGGACGGGUGAGUAACACGUGGGUAACCUGCCCAUAAGACUGGGAUAACUCCGGGAAACCGGGGCUAAUACCGGAUAACAUUUUGAACCGCAUGGUUCGAAAUUGAAAGGCGGCUUCGGCUGUCACUUAUGGAUGGACCCGCGUCGCAUUAGCUAGUUGGUGAGGUAACGGCUCACCAAGGCAACGAUGCGUAGCCGACCUGAGAGGGUGAUCGGCCACACUGGGACUGAGACACGGCCCAGACUCCUACGGGAGGCAGCAGUAGGGAAUCUUCCGCAAUGGACGAAAGUCUGACGGAGCAACGCCGCGUGAGUGAUGAAGGCUUUCGGGUCGUAAAACUCUGUUGUUAGGGAAGAACAAGUGCUAGUUGAAUAAGCUGGCACCUUGACGGUACCUAACCAGAAAGCCACGGCUAACUACGUGCCAGCAGCCGCGGUAAUACGUAGGUGGCAAGCGUUAUCCGGAAUUAUUGGGCGUAAAGCGCGCGCAGGUGGUUUCUUAAGUCUGAUGUGAAAGCCCACGGCUCAACCGUGGAGGGUCAUUGGAAACUGGGAGACUUGAGUGCAGAAGAGGAAAGUGGAAUUCCAUGUGUAGCGGUGAAAUGCGUAGAGAUAUGGAGGAACACCAGUGGCGAAAGCGACUUUCUGGUCUGUAACUGACACUGAGGCGCGAAAGCGUGGGGGAGCAAACA
rnacentral:rRNA from 1 species